rnacentral:rRNA from 1 species
CUGGCUCAGAACGAACGCUGGCGGCGCGUCUUAAGCAUGCAAGUCGAACGGCAAGAGGUAGCAAUACCUCCUAGAGUGGCGGACUGGUAGAGUAACAACGUGGGUGACAUACCCUUCAGAUGGGGAUAGCUAUUAGAAAUAGUAGAUAAUACCGAAUACGAGCACAGGGGUUAGAGAUCUGUGAGGAAAGGAGCUAAGGCUCCGCUGAAGGAAUGGCCUGCGGCCCAUUAGCUAGUUGGUGAGGUAAGAGCCCACCAAGGCGAUGAUGGGUAUCCGGCCUUAGAGGGUGAACGGACACAUUGGGACUGAGAUACGGCCCAGACUCCUACGGGAGGCAGCAGCUAAGAAUAUUCCGCAAUGGACGAAAGUCUGACGGAGCGACGCCGCGUGGAUGAAGAAGGCCGGAAGGUUGUAAAAAUCCUUUUGAAACUGAAGAAUAAGCGUUGUAGGGAAUGACAGCGUGGUGACUGUAGGUUUUGAAUAAGCAACGGCUAAUUACGUGCCAGCCGCAGC